rnacentral:lncRNA from 1 species
UGAAAUAGCUUACUUUUAGCCAGCAAUGUCUUGGUAUAAUUUCUGAACAAGUAAAAACAGACUUCCGGAAAAAAUUGUGCUACAAAAAAAACAAAUCUUUCUUAAUCACUUGCAACAAAUUCACCGAUUUUAUAGCCCCAAUGUCCUUAUCUCCUAAAUUCACUAUUAUUAAAUCUGGAUAGGGAAAAAUUAAUAAACGUUGUUGCAAUAUUUCCAAUAACUGAGACCACUUAGCACCACGGCUGCCUUUCCAAAAUACAUUAACUGAAGUGCUCUUCAAACCCAGAUUUUCACAGAUUUUUGUGUGCUCCUUCUGGGCCCAAACUACAAACGAGUAACCAAUAACCCAGGCAAUCGCCUUAUCACCUAACAGAAAGAGAGAUAUACGUAUAUGCACCAAUUUUAUGAAACACCAAACUUUAUGAAACACCUCCCUCUCCUGGAACUGCUGGGGGGCCACACCUCCCUGGGCAAGCCCGCCUUCUUUCGAGACCAGCGUCUCCUGCGCUGUCCACUCCUCUCACGCCGUUCCCCACCACCAACCAAAGUGCAACCAGCCCGGCCCACCUGCCUUGCCAGGAACCCAUAUCGACCGCAUCCAAGGGCCCCAGGGCAGUGCCUCCCUGCCUUGCGCGCCUACUCCUGCGCGGCGCGGCUGACUGCGACUCAGCCCUCCCUGAGAUGCCCUGAGGGGACCCAGAAAAUGCAAGGUGGUGACUCUGUUCCUGCGCCCCCCCUCACUGGCACCCCUGCCGAACCAUCAAGACUCCUUAGGCCAUCCUCCCGACUGCCCCCUAAGCCACUAUCCCAAAGGGCCCCAGCUCAGUCCCAGUGACACCCCUAGCGGAGGAGGGGCCCACUGCCAAAACCCCCGGGCAGAGCUUGUCCCCGGGCCCUGAGACGUCCCUGAAGGCCCCAUGGUCCUCUUGAGCUGCAUCAACCCCACCAGGGGGACCAGCUGCCCCACACCCACCAAGGUCACUUGCCUGCUUGUGGGAUGCUCCUCCAGCAACACUGCUCCUGGUCCUCCUGGCAACAGCAGGCUCACUGUGCCAUCUCCCACUGCCAGGGGCCACCCUCCCGGUGGGCGGCACCAUGAUCAGCAGUCCUGGGCUCCCACUGCCGGUUGCAGUAGAGCCCGUGCCCAGCCUGGCUUCCCCUGACUGGGGAGCCGCACUGCCGAGAUCCUGGCCAUGCGGCCACCUGCUCCCGUGCCCCCGGCUAUCCAUGGCAUCACCAGGGGCAGGACACCAUCUCCGAGUCCCAUGUUAGGGCCUCCAACCUCAAGGCUCUGAGCUACCGACCCCACCGGCGGGUCUGACAUCCUGGCCAGGGCUAAGCCCCCGCGCUGGGCGGCUGGUCCCGCCACCGUUCCGGAACCCGCCAGUGUCAGUCCCAGGAGCUCCUGCACCCAUGCCACUCCACGAUACGGCACCGCCGCUCUCACCUCCGCUAGGAGCUGCUCCAUUGGAUCUAUCCUCUGGGCCUUGAACCUGCAGAAAAAAAAAACCUGAAAAAAACCUAUCAGGCCCAAGCUGCAGGCAGGAGUUGCACACAACUUAGGCCAGGUAAUAAGAUUAAAAGUGCCUAAUUCUAAAAUGGC